UGGGCAUUUAUUAUUCUUCAGUUUCUUCUCAAGGUGAAAAUAACUCUUUAUAAGUGUCUUAGAGAAAUAUCAUAGCUUUCUGUUCACCCUUUGCAAGUAUAAAGGGUGGAUUGUUCCACUACUGACACUU